rnacentral:rRNA from 1 species
GACGAACGCUGGCGGCGUGCUUAACACAUGCAAGUCGAGCGGUAAGGCCCUUUCGGGGGUACGACGAGCGGCGAACGGGUGAGUAGCACGUGGGUGACCUGCCCUUACGCUCUGGGAUAAGCCUGGGAAACGUGGGUCUAAUACCGGAUAUGACUCCAUGACGCAUGUUGUGGGGUGGAAAGCCUUGUGCGGCUAGGGAUGGGCCCGCGGCCUAUCAGCCUGUUGGUGGGGUGANGGCCUACCAAGGCGACGACGGGUAGCCGGCCUGAGAGGGCGACCGGCCACACUGGGACUGAGACACGGCCCAGACUCCUACGGGAGGCAGCAGUGGGGAAUCUUGCGCAAUGGGCGAAAGCCUGACGC